AAGACUAUAGACCUGCGGAGUACCUGCGGAGGGAUCAUUAACAAAUCUCAACAACAACACCUGUGCAACUGUCGUGUGUUCCUGGGGUGGGUGGUGGCCGGUGGUGAUAUAUAUGUAUUUAUUACCACCGUGUCCCGAACCCAGGAACAUGCAUCUCUCAAACACACACUGUCAGAGCGACAUAACACAUAAUGUCAACAUAACUUUCAACAAUGGAUCUCUAGAUCGGAAGAGCACACG
rnacentral:misc_RNA from 1 species